UGGGUUAGGAUUUGGAAUUUGGAGAAAACAAGAGAAUGAGCCAUGAGAUCAAGAAAUUUGGGGAGAGUAGAUCUCGAUUUUAAGAGAUUUUGGAGUUUUUGGGAGAUCUAGGAUGAGGUUCUUAGGUUGAGACAAGAAGGACAAGAAGAGUCUUUGAAUUUGAGACAUCUCAGAACCCCUUUUUAAUGAAAUAGGGCUUGGGUCGGCUCACUUGAAAAGAGUUUACCUGAUCAA
rnacentral:lncRNA from 1 species